rnacentral:rRNA from 1 species
AUGGGCUGGAAGCUCGCCCAGUUCGCGUACACCAUCCGCAUCGACUUCCAGUACCGCGGCCUCGGCGCCGCCAUGCUAGCGGACCUGGAGCCGUUCAUGCUGCAGCCGGAGGACUCGAACGAGGAGCCCGAGGUAAUCGCCGUCAACUCAGUCUUCGAGAUGCACCGGCUGCUCGCCCAGCCCGGCGCCAUGGAGAAGGUCCUGGGCACCGUGCGCGUCGUGCGGCCGAGGAUCGUCACCGAUGUGGAGCACGAGGGGAACCACAACUCCGGCACAUUCCUGGACCGCUUCACUGAGCACUACUACUACUCCACCAUGUUCGAUUCCUGGACUCGCUGCACUACUACUCCACCAUGUUCGAUUCCCUCGAGGGCGGCAGCUCCGGCGGCCCAUCCGAAGUCUCAUCGGGGGGAAGCUGUUGCUCCUGCCGCCGCCGGCACGGACCAGGUCAUGUCUGAGGUGUACCCCGGCCGGCAUAUCUGUAACAUGGUGGCCUGCGAGGGGGCGGAGCGCACAGAGCGCCACGAGACACUGGGCCCGAGCGGGGUCGCAAGGGAGGAGGCCGAGAGCGCGCGGAUGGCCGCCCACUCCACGUCGCCGGACCGGUGCGGCCGGAACGCCGCGGACGGGCGCGGCGAGCACGCGGUGGCCGCCGCCGCCAUGGCGGCUGACGGGGUGCAGUCGAAGGAGAGCCGUGACAGACUGGACAGGUGUGCUAUACUGCGGGUUGAUUAG